UCGGGAAUUUUGGGCAAUGGGCGAAAGCCUGACCCAGCAACGCCGCGUGAAGGAUGAAGUAUUUCGGUAUGUAAACUUCGAAAGAAUAGGAAGAAUAAAUGACGGUACUAUUUAUAAGGUCCGGCUAACUACGUGCCAGCAGCCGCGGUAAUACGUAGGGACCAAGCGUUGUUCGGAUUUACUGGGCGUAAAGGGCGCGUAGGCGGCAAUUCAAGUCAUCUGUGAAAUCUCCGGGCUUAACUCGGAACGGUCAGAUGAUACUGCUUUGCUAGAGUGCAGAAGGGGCAAUCGGAAUUCUUGGUGUAGCGGUGAAAUGCGUAGAUAUCAAGAGGAACACCUGAGGUGAAGACGGGUUGCUGGGCUGACACUGACGCUGAGGCGCGAAAGCCAGGGGAGCAAACGGGGAUUAGAUACCCACGUAGUCCCUGAGCGGGCUGGCAAGGCGCAU
rnacentral:rRNA from 1 species